rnacentral:tRNA from 1 species
GUCCCUGUAGCGCAAUGGAUAGAGCGUUGGACUUCUCAUUCAAAGGUCGUGGGUUUGAAUCCCACCUGGGAUG